rnacentral:rRNA from 1 species
GAUGAACGCUGGCGGUAUGCUUAACACAUGCAAGUCGAACGGACUCUUCGGAGUUAGUGGCGGACGGGUGAGUAACGCGUGAGAAUCUGGCUUUGGGUUCGGGACAACCACUGGAAACGGUGGCUAAUACCGGAUGUGCCGAGAGGUAAAAGAGAAAAUGCCUGAAGAUGAGCUCGCGUCUGAUUAGCUAGUUGGUGAGGUAAAGGCUCACCAAGGCAGCGAUCAGUAGCUGGUCUGAGAGGAUGACCAGCCACACUGGGACUGAGACACGGCCCAGACUCCUACGGGAGGCAGCAGUGGGGAAUUUUCCGCAAUGGGCGAAAGCCUGACGGAGCAAUACCGCGUGAGGGAAGAAGGCUCUUGGGUUGUAAACCUCUUUUCUUAGGGAAGAACAAAAUGACGGUACCUAAGGAAUCAGCAUCGGCUAACUCCGUG